UGGGGAAUAUUGCACAAUGGGCGAAAGCCUGAUGCAGCAACGCCGCGUGAGUGAUGAAGGCCUUCGGGUUGUAAAGCUCUGUCUUCUGGGACGAUAAUGACGGUACCAGAGGAGGAAGCCACGGCUAACUACGUGCCAGCAGCCGCGGUAAUACGUAGGUGGCAAGCGUUGUCCGGAUUUACUGGGCGUAAAGGAUGCGUAGGCGGAUACUUAAGUCAGAUGUGAAAAUCCCGGGCUUAACUUGGGAACUGCAUUUGAAACUGGGUAUCUAGAGUGCGGGAGAGGAAAGUGGAAUUCCUAGUGUAGCGGUGAAAUGCGUAGAGAUUAGGAAGAACACCAGUUGCGAAGGCGGUCUCUUGGUCCGACACUGACGCUGAGGCGCGAAAGCGUGGGGAGCAAACA
rnacentral:rRNA from 1 species